UAUUUUGUAGUAUUGUGGUAUUUAUGGUUUCUGCUCAUACAGUAAACCAUAAGCAUGGUUUCUGCAUAUACUGGAGCAGUAAACCAUAUGAGUGAAUGAAUAUUCACUGCGCCACCAGAGCCAGCCGACGGAGGUGCGCGUCGCCUUUCCCGCUGCGAUCAGACGCUGAUUGCUGGUGAAUAAACCAUGGCCUCAUAUCGGUGACUGGGGGAGAGGUGUUGUGUGUCCACCACGCAACUACUGAGGAAGUUAAUAACACAACCGCCCUGCCAAGGAAAUGUCCUCACAACGCGCACACACCCGUACACACACACACCAACCAACACAGACACAUACAUACACAUGCACACAACCACACACACACACACAUAGACACACACACACACAAACACACACACACAUACACAUGCACACACAGACACACACACGCAUAUUGAUGCACACGCACACACACUUACAUCCAAAUGCACACACAAACACGCACACAAAAACACACACAGAAAAACACACAAACAGACACUCACACUGGCAGUGUGCCAGUGUGCGUCAGACUGCGGUGGUGUCGUUUUGAUCACCAGGAGAGAGUGAUGUAAGGCGAUAAUAUGAACCAGUCUGUGGAGGGGGGGCAUGGGGGGCAUGUGGACUGGUUCAGAACACAGAUUCCCAGUCUGGAUGUUUGAGGCAGUGAUAAGUUCAUAUGCAAAUAAUACCAGUUCUGAAUGUAGCAAAAGAAUACCAUAGCAUGCCAUAACAUACCACAACAUAAUAUAACAUAACACAAAACACCGCAACAAAGGAGGCAUUCGGUUUCUUACUGCUGGUCUGGUGUUGGUAGUGUUCCCUCUGCCUCACUAGUGUUCACUCUGCCUCACUCUGCCUCACUAGUGUUCACUCUGCCUCAAUAGUGUUCACUCUGUCUCACUAGAGUUCACUCUGCCUCACUCUGGCUUACUAGUGUUCACUCUGUCUCACUAGUGUGCACUCUACCUCACUCUUUCUCACUAAUGUUUAAUCUGUCUCAAUAGUGUUCACUCUGCCUCAAUAGUGUUCACUCUGUUUUACUAGUGUUCCCUCUGUCCCACUAGUGUUCGCUCUGCCUCACUAUUUUUACCGUUGUCUCAAUAGUGUUCACUCUGCCUCACUAGGGUUCACUCUGUCUCACUAGUGUUCACUCUGCCUCACUCUGCCUCGCUAGUGUCACUCUGUCUCACCAUUGUUCACUCUGUCUCACUAGUAUUCACUCUGCCUCACUAGUGUUCACUCUGUCUCACUAGUGUUCAGUCUGCCUCACUAGUUUUCACUCUGUCUCACUAAUCUUCUGGUGUCGGUAUUGUUCACUCUGUCUCACUAGUGUUCUGGUGUCGUUUGUGUUCGCAGUCAGAGUUGAUGAACUUGUCUAGUGUAAACAUUGUUAUUGUCUCUUGAGAGUUGAGUCAAAAAACAUUGUUAUUGACUGAACUCUCUAACAUCGGACGAUGUUACAGAGCUGUUUCAGAGAGCCACACAACAGGCAUAUGUAUGCGUGUGGUUCUGUGCGUGUAGAUGUGUGCGUGUAGAUGUGUGUGUGUAGAUGUGUGCGUGUGCAUGUGUGGGUGCGCGUGAAAGUGUGCAUGUGUGCGUGUGCGCUUGUACAUGUGCAUAUGCGUUGGGUGUCAGAGGCCUUUCAUCACCUUUGGAGUGGAAGGUUUAUCACCGUGGAAACGAAGCAGCUUACACGUCUGACAUCCAUGUUCUCACCACUAGAAAAACAGAAAAAAGUCUGCUGUUGUCAUCCUGCAGUUUGAAGGCUGCCUCUGUUCGACAGCUGGUUGUUUACCGUGAAAACAUUUUAAAGACGGUUUGAUUCGUUUUUCAGCCGCCGCUAUGACCGGUGUGGCUCCUAACCCUAGGUCACAAGACUGCCUGUCCUCUGACCUUGAAGCUAGCUCUAGUUCGCCAAUGGCUUCUUGUUUGGACACAGACUAAAUCCUCCUCUAGCUCC
ensembl:lncRNA